rnacentral:rRNA from 1 species
UACGGAGGAUGCAAGCGUUAUCCGGAAUGAUUGGGCGUAAAGCGUCCGCAGGUGGCAAUGUAAGUCUGCUGUUAAAGAGUCUAGCUCAACUAGAUAAGAGCAGUGGAAACUACAUAGCUAGAGUACGUUCGGGGCAGAGGGAACUCCUGGUGUAGCGGUGAAAUGCGUAGAGAUCAGGAAGAACACCGGUGGCGAAGGCGCUCUGCUAGGCCGUAACUGACACUGAGGGACGAAAGCUAGGGGAGCGAAUGGG